UAUGACCUGGGCUACACACGUGCUACAAUGGGAAGUACAACGAGUCGCGAAGUCGCGAGGCUAAGCUAAUCUCUUAAAGCUUCUCUCAGUUCGGAUUGCAGGCUGCAACUCGCCUGCAUGAAGCCGGAAUCGCUAGUAAUCGCGGAUCAGCACGCCGCGGUGAAUACGUUCCCGGGCCUUGUACACACCGCCCGUCACACCACGAGAGUUUGUAACACCCGAAGUCGGUGAGGUAACCUUUUGGAGCCAGCCGCCUAAGGUGGGAUAGAUGAUUGGGGUGAAGUCGUAACAAGGUAGCCGUAUCGGAAGGUGCGGCUGGAUCACCUCCUUUCUAAGGAA
rnacentral:rRNA from 1 species